rnacentral:rRNA from 1 species
CACGUAGGGUGCGAGCGUUGUCCGGAAUUACUGGGCGUAAAGAGCUCGUAGGUGGUUUGUCGCGUUGUUCGUGAAAACUCACAGCUCAACUGUGGGCGUGCGGGCGAUACGGGCAGACUAGAGUACUGCAGGGGAGACUGGAAUUCCUGGUGUAGCGGUGGAAUGCGCAGAUAUCAGGAGGAACACCGGUGGCGAAGGCGGGUCUCUGGGCAGUAACUGACGCUGAGGAGCGAAAGCGUGGGGAGCGAACAGG